CUUCCCCAGUCUCCUCCCCGCAGUGAAAGGAGAAGAUCACUCAGCCCCGUUAAGCCUCAGUUUCUCCAUCUGCAAGCGCCGAUAAUAAUACACAACACCUAUUUCAGGAGUAGCAGUGAGCCUUAGGCGGGGCGUGGCGGGGCGCGGACCCGCACACAAUGGGCGCUCAAUAAGAGCCCGUUUUCUUUCUUUCCCCUCCCCUUCCCGCGCCCCCUCCCAGCCAGUUCCAGCCUCUGCUUGUUCCCCCCGAGACUCCCUCCGCUGGCCCCCGCGCUGCUGCGAUGGGGUCGGGGACCGCUUCUGCCCCGCAUCCGGGGCUCUCACCUGCAGCCUUGGCUCUCGCGGGCCGACGGGACAGAAGGGGACCCCUGUGUUAUCUUCGGGGCAGGCACUGAGCCCCUCGCCUGAGGCGGGAGGAAGGUGGCAGCCUGGGUUCGUGGCACUCGCGCUGUUCCAAGUCCGAAGCACUCGGGUGGAGGCAACUGAAGGUUGGGGUCUCGUGGAGCCAGAGGCUGGGGGCGUCCGGGGUCCCGUGCACCGGAGUCGAGAGCCUGGGGCCACAAUGCGCUAGCUCCGGAGUAGCGGCUCCGGCUCCGACCCUCACUGAUGGAAAGGCGCGGAGCGACCCUGCAACCACGGACCCGUACUGCUGGGUUAGGAGCGUGCCGCCCCGGCGCAGCGGGUCACGGCCGGGACUCCGCGCGUCCCGGCCGCACGCCCCGGACCGCGGGUCUGUAAAACAGGGCGGACCUCGGCGCGGCAGCCGACUCCCGAGCUCCCGGCUGCGGCUCCACUUCCUCCUCUUCCCCCGCUCGCUCACCGCUCGCUCAACGCCGCGCCGCUGCCACCUCCGCUGUCAUCCCCGCCGCCCACCCCCACCGGAGCCGCAGCCCGAUCUCAGCCGAGGCAGCGCCGCCCAGCGCCGGAGCGCCAGCCAGCGCGGCCCCGCCCGGACGGGGCGGAGUCAGCAGGGACCCCGCCCCCGGCCGGCAGCGGGCAGGGGCAGGGCGCGCGUCGGCUCCCCUUCGCGGGCCCCGCGCAUGGGGCCGCAGGAGCCAAUCCGAGGGUGGGAGCGGAGCGGCGCCCUGCGGAACGCGGACUCUACCUCGGAGAGGGCGGGGCGGACAAUGAAGAGGUGCGGCUACAAAAGGACAAUGGCGGGGCUGGGAGUUCAGAAAGGGCCGAAUCGGGGAGGGGGUUGGUCUCGGGACCCGGAUGGAGGGAGAGGCGAGAGGGCUGGCUUGUUUGGGACACGGGCAUGGGGACUGCUGUGCGGGGAUUGCGGGGGUCACGGGGAAGCAGCAGGGGCCAGGGUAGGAAAAGAAGCCGGGACGAGGCAAGGUGGAGGCGUGGGGGGAUAUCCGGGGUCAGGGAUCCCAGGGACGCUGGAGCGAACCCUCCUGGGUGGUGGGAUGCCGCCGACAGCUUGCUGCUGCCCAGCUUCUAGUGCUCCGCACUCAGAGCCUCCCUUCCCUGCGCCCAUCCCCGAGGAGGAGCGCGUCGUGGUCAAUUUUUAA
rnacentral:lncRNA from 1 species